rnacentral:lncRNA from 1 species
ACCUCGCAGGCAGCGCGUCUACGUCAGAGCGCCCGAGUCCACACAGCUCGCAGGCAGCGCGUCUACGUCAGAGCGCCCGAGUCCACACACUUCGCAGGCAGCGCGUCUACGUCAGAGCGCCGGAGUCCACACACUUCGCAGGCAGCGCGUUUACGUCAGAGCGCCCGAGUCCACACACUUCGCAUGCAGUGCAUUUACAUGGAAAUUGGAUCGAGGCACUGACGUUUAGAUCUUGGCUCCUGCUCCUGCCGUCUGGACAAAGGGCUCACCCGUUGCCAUCUCAGACACCAGAGGCUCCCACUUGACCAGAAACCCACUCCUGCGAUGAAGGACGAAUCUCUUCCUAAGGGCAGAGCUCUUAUGGCCCACUCGCCCCUCUAAGUUCCCACCUCCCAAGGCCGUUUCUCUGGGGAUGAAAUUUCCAACAUACAAACAUUGGGGGCACCUUCAAGCCACGGUGUCCUGUAAACCAGCCUUUCAUCAUUUACCGAAUGGUGUUUCUUUUACCAGGAGGUAAGGACUGGCGUCCUGUAAACCAGCCUUUCAGCAUUUGCCCAAUGGUGUUUCUUUUACCAGGAGAUAAGGACUCUAUGAUCAGGUGAUUUGGGAAAGAGCAAGGGAAGCUGUUCAUGUUCUAUCCUGCGUGUUCUUGAGAAAGUUUUGAUGACAGAAAACAUCACACAGAAGGGGCAGGCAUCACAAGUUUCCAGCUCCAUGGAUUUUUGCAAACUGAGCACAUUUGUGGGCCAGGAGUGGGGCCCACAGCGAGAAUAUCCUUCCUGCUGCUCCUGCCGUCCAUCCAUCAGCACAGCCAGUUCCUGGCUGUGGAACACACAGAGCUGUGCACUGUUGAGUUUACCGCGAUGAGAACAGUGAGUGUCUUUCAUCUGGCUGCAGUUGCUGGAGGCACUGCCUGCUCUGGCCUCCUCGCUCUGGAACAUUCCCUGCUGAACAAUGACACCAGGGAAGGCCAAGGAUGGGCACACAAGGCUCAGUCCUUCACCUGAUGGUGGCUUGGCCAUGUUUAUCUUUCCCUUUUCUCAAAGACCUGUGUGGGGCCAGAGAGAGCUGGGGUUUCCAGUGGCCUGAAGUGUAGCGGAAAGCAGAGGCUUCCACUGGGAAAAAGGGAAUUCUUCCAAAGAGAAGGAUGAAGCCAGCAGCAGGGAUCCCGGCAGGACUGACCCCCAUGGAGCUGAUGAGGCCGAGUGUCGGGAAGCACUCACAUUCUCCUCGAAAACAGACACAGGUCAACCUGCGUUACAGGGUCGGCGAGGUCAUCAGAUAACCCCACAGUGUCUAAUACUGUAACUACAUGCCUGCCUAAAAUGACCUGGCACACCGUAGGUGCACACAAGAUUCUACAUAGUGAAAAUACAUAGACAAUUGUUGCUAAUUUUUGAUCCUGGAAAAUCCACUGGAUCGAUACUUUAGAAGAGGAUAAUGGAUAAAAUCAAUCGAUAGGAAAAUUCAAAUAUUUAGAAAAUACUAGUUUUAAUCUACUGUAAAAAUAUCGUAAAUUAGUACUGAACUGUUUUUCCUUAUUACAAAAAUAUUCAAGCAAUAAAAACGUCAGGUAUUA